rnacentral:rRNA from 1 species
GUGAAGAUGCAGUGUACCCGCGGCAAGACGGAAAGACCCCGUGAACCUUUACUAUAGCUUGACACUGAACAUUGAGCCUUGAUGUGUAGGAUAGGUGGGAGGCUUUGAAGUGUGGACGCCAGUCUGCAUGGAGCCGGCCUUGAAAUACCACCCUUUAAUGUUUGAUGUUCUAACGUUGGCCCCUGAUCGGGGUUGCGGACAGUGUCUGGUGGGUAGUUUGACUGGGGCGGUCUCCUCCUAAAGAGUAACGGAGGAGCACGAAGGUUGGCUAAUCCUGGUCGGACAUCAGGAGGUUAGUGCAAUGGCAUAAGCCAGCUUGACUGCGAGCGUGACGGCGCGAGCAGGUGCGAAAGCAGGUCAUAGUGAUCCGGUGGUUCUGAAUGGAAGGGCCAUCGCUCAACGGAUAAAAGGUACUCCGGGGAUAACAGGCUGAUACCGCCCAAGAGUUCAUAUCGACGGCGGUGUUUGGCACCUCGAUGUCGGCUCAUCACAUCCUGGGGCUGAAGUAGGUCCCAAGGGUAUGGCUGUUCGCCAUUUAAAGUGGUACGCGAGCUGGGUUUAGAACGUCGUGAGACAGUUCGGUCCCUAUCUGCCGUGGGCGCUGGAGAACUGAGGGGGGCUGCUCCUAGUACGAGAGGACCGGAGUGGACGCAUCACUGGUGUUCGGGUUGUCAUGCCAAUGGCACUGCCCGGUAGCUAAAUGCGGAAGAGAUAAGUGCUGAAAGCAUCUAAGCACGAAACUUGCCCCGAGAUGAGUUCUCCCUGAGACUUAGAGUCUCCUGAAGGAACGUUGAAGACGACGACGUUGAUAGGCCGGGUGUGUAAGCGCAGCGAUGCGUUGAGCUAACCGGUACUAAUGAACCGUGAGGCUUAACCUUACAACGCCGAAG